rnacentral:rRNA from 1 species
UACAGGAGGGGGCUGCGGGCCAUCAGGUAGUUGGUGAGGUAGAGGCUCACCAAGCCAACGACGGCUAUCUGACGUGAGAGCGUGAUCAGACACGAGGACACUGAGACACGGGUCCUACUCCUACGGGAGGCAGCAGUGGGGAAUCUUGGACAAUGGGGGAAACCCUGAUCCAGCGACGCCGCGUGAACGACGACGUCCUUCGGGAUGUAAAGUUCUUUUCACAGGGGAGAAAGUACACCUCAGGGAAUGGGGGUGUAUUGACGGUACCCGUAGAAUAAGCCCCGGCUAACUACGUGCCAGCAGCCGCGGUAAGACGUAGGGGGCAAGCGUUACCCGGAAUCACUGGGCGUAAAGGGGGCGUAGGCGGUCUAAAGGGUCAUAUGUUAAAAGAUACGGCUUAACCGUAGAGAUGCGUAUGAAACCGUUAGACUUGAGGGUAGCAGAGGAAAAGGGAAUUACCACUGUAGGGGUGAAAUCCGUAGAGAGUGGUAAGAAUGCCGGUGGCGAAGGCGCUUUUCUGGGUUACACCUGACGCUGAGGCCCGAAAGCCAGGGGAGCGAACCGGAUUAGAUACCCUGGUAGUCCACGCAGUAAACGAUGCUCACUCGCUGUUGGCAAUAGAUCGUCAGCGGCUAAGGGAAACCGAUAAGUGAGCCACCUGGGGAGUACGAUCGCAAGAUUGAAACUCAAAGGAAUUGACGGGGGCCCGCACAAGCGGUGGAACAUGUGGUUUAAUUCGAUGAUACGCGAGGAACCUUACCUGGGCUUAAAUGUACGAUGCAUAAGUGUGAAAGCACUUUUUCCUUCGGGACUUUGUACAAGGUGCUGCAUGGUUGUCGUCAGCUCGUGCCGUGAGGUGUCGGGUUAAGUCCCAUAACGAGCGCAACCCCUAUUGUUAGUUACCAGCGCGUAAAGGCGGGGACUCUAGCGAAACUGCCGGUGUAAACCGCGAGGAAGGUGGGGAUGACGUCAAAUCAGCACGGCCCUUAUGCCCAGGGCUACACACGUGUUACAAUGGCCGGUACAGCGGGCAGCGAGGCAGCGAUGCCGAGCGAAUCUCGAAAGCCGGUCCCAGUUCGGAUUGGAGUCUGCAACCCGACUCCAUGAAGGUGGAAUCGCUAGUAAUCGCGCAUCAGCCAUGGCGCGGUGAAUACGUUCCCGGGCCUUGUACACACCGCCCGUCAAGCCAUGGAAGUCUGGGGUGCCUGAAGGCCGUAACC